rnacentral:tRNA from 1 species
GCCCGAGUAGUAUAGUCUGGAUAGUACGCACGGUUGCGGUCCGUGUAACCGGGGUUCGAAUCCUCGCUCGGGCA